rnacentral:lncRNA from 1 species
GUAAUAUUGCAAUAUAACGUAUUUUUAGAAAAGGGAUGUGGUAAAAGUAGAAAAAAGGGCUCUAACAUGCAACACUAGAUUAAAAUAAGUUACAGACACAGAACACAACAGUGAGCAGAUGAGAAGCAGAAGGACAAUAGACGGGCUUUGCAGGGACAAAACGCUACCAACAUGUGUGCAAGAUGAACAUCUUAGAUCAUCAUGUUUUCUACUCUGGAGUACAUCAUUCUCACAUUUUUUAAAAAAUGCUGUUAUUAAUUCUUUUUUAAAACACAAAAAAAGAACCCAACUCUUAGACCUCAUUGGCUAUUCAAGUUAGGCUUUAUUUCUUUUCCUUACAAUAAAACUCUCCUCUUCCCUUUCAUUUUCCUUUGAACUAACUUCAUUCCGGCUCUCUGUUGUCUUCAGCCUCCACCACAGUUGCUUUAGACACGGUGACUGAUGAUAUCAGGACUGCUUAUCCAACCGCCAGUGCCAGGCCUUGCUCUGUUUAACCUUGGCCUUUGAGGUACCUGAUCAUCUCUGCUAUCCUCAGGCCGUUCUCCUCAUUUUCCUACUAUCUUAUCAGCCGCUUACUCUUACUCUGUUCCAGUUGCUGGUUUCUUCUUUUCUUUCUGACCUCUGGAUGUUUCUCCCUACCUGUAAGCCUGCUGGCUUAGUCCUUGAACCUCUUUUCUCAUCCCUGUAAGCUCACUGGUGGUGAUGCCCAGCUUAAUGGUGUAAACACCGUCUCUACGGUUUCAGAAUGUUAACAUAGUGUACGUCACCAACACAUGUCUGAGCAAAGUCCAGCAGUGUUCUCAAUACUGCACACAGAUGUCUGAUGGGUGCCUCAAUCUUCCUGAGCUCAAAAGGCAACUCCUGAUCCUUCCUCUAAAGCUGGUCCCUCCCAUGUGCCUUCUUCCAUCUAGAUAAAUGGCGACUGCGUUUUCCACUUCCUCAGGCCAAAAAACAUGAGGCAUUGCAUUAGAAGAAUCUUGUGAAAUAUGAGAAAAAGUGCAUCAGUCCCUUGCUGCUGCAGGGACGCCAUGAGAGCCAACGCCGGAAGAGCACACUCCUGGAUGGCUCCCUGCCCUGUGCAUGGCUUGCUCCCUACCCCAUUCUCACUUGUGGAGGUUCAAACGCCCCCUUGAGGACUAUUCAUGGGAUGCUUCUUUACCGUUAAACGUAUCUUCCUUCCACCAGCAGCACUUUCUGUCUGCCCUUCCUGAAUUAUUUCCAUAGCAUGCGUCAUCAUUUAGGAUACUGUGUAAUUUACUUCUGUUUUCUAUGAGUACCUGUUUCCACUAUUAUUAUAGAACGUAACUCAGAAGAGAUUUUGGCUUGCGUGUGUGUUUUCCUCCAUACUGUAUCCUUUGUGCAUAGAAGAGUGUUAGAGCCUAAGAGAUCGUAAAAUCAAUAAGAGAUUAAAUAAUUAUUUGAAUACUCAAAACCUCUAGGUAAGGAAUUGUGGGUGAGUCAAAGAUUAAAAAUAUGUAUCCCUAACCUGUUUUCUCCCUCCAGGGGCUUCUCUUGUAAAAGUUACCCAAACCUCCUUGUUGAUAAGAGUGAAGGACCUUUCACAGUCCACGCGUUUCUCUCUGCAGAACUAGCUGUUAUCUCUUCUCU